AAGGAAAAACAUCUUUUUACAUUGAAAGCUUCACCUGAAGCCAACCUCCCUAUGAAAGCAUCCUGCCUGUUUCCAGAUACACCAAUUCAGAGAGAAUCUGUGAUGCUGAAAUUGAAAGCCAAACACCAAUUAGGACAUCAAAGUGUUCCAGUUCAGCUUUUAAAGCCAGUAUGUUCUUAGAAGAACAGUCCAUGCUCAGUUCUUGUAGGUGUUUUUUUUCCUAGUGAGGAUCUCAUUUACAGCAAGUAUAUAACCUGUCUUCAAGUGACUGUCCAGAGAUCAGUACCUUCCUUCUCCACCCCAAGCUCCAUUGGGAGUCACAACUACCUCUCGAAUGGAAUCUGCUUCAGUGUUAUAAACCAUCAGCUUCAGCGGCUUCCCCUCAUGGGAUUCAAUCAGGGAAAAGAAAUCCUCUGACUGAGAAAAAAAAAA